rnacentral:rRNA from 1 species
UACAGAGGGUGCGAGCGUUAAUCGGAAUUACUGGGCGUAAGGCGUGCGUAGACGGUUAUUUAAGUCGGGUGUGAAAGCCCCGGGCUCAACCUGGGAAUUGCAUUCGAGACUGAAUAGCUAGGGUACGGUAGAGGGAAGUGGAAUUUCCGGUGUAGCGGUGAAAUGCGUAGAUAUCGGAAGGAACACCUGAGGCGAAGGCGGGCUACUGGGCCGAUACUGACGCUGAGGCGCGAAAGCCAGGGGAGCAAACGGG